CGGCCUCGGGCGGGGGCGGAGCCGCGAAGGUUCUGGUCGCUGUGUCGUCACCGUCGCCACCGUCUCCACCACCGUCGCUGCGCCCGCCCGCGCCGAUAAAACAGCGAGGAGCCGGGCGGGCGGGAGAAGCCAGCGCCGGGGCGGUGACGGUGACCACGGUGACGCCGGCCGGGACUCCGAGAGCGCGGCGAUGGUGAAGGAGACGCAGUUCUACGACGUCUUGGGCGUGAAGCCGAACGCGGCGCCCGACGAGAUCCGCAGGGCCUACCGGAGGCUGGCGCUGCGCUACCACCCCGACAAGAACCCGAGCGAGGGCGACCGGGUGAGGUGAUAAAGCACGGGGAACUUCGAUGUGUGCGCAAGCGAGGGGAUGCCUAUCUACAAGUCCCCCCUGGAGAAGGGGAUGCUGGUCAUACAGUUCCUAGUGACCUUCCCUGAGCAGCACUGGCUGUCCCUGGAGAAGUUGCCACAGCUGGAAGCCCUGUUACCCCCGGAGGCAGAAGGUGCGGGUCACAGAGGACAUGGAGCAGGCGGAGCUGCAGGAGUUCAGUGCUGGCGAGCAGAGCUGGCGCCCGCAGCGGGAAGCCUAUGAGGAGGAUGAGGAUGGGCCGCGGAGCCGGCGUGCAGUGCCAGGCAGCGUGAUGCAGGGGCGGUGUAACGUUGGCACAAUGAAACGGCGUCCUGUAAUGGCUGUCUGGGGUGUCUUGUGUGUGUUCAGCAUUCUCCACAGCGGAGUGUCUUUGGGUUUCUUUUGCUUUUGUUUUGGUUCUGAUUUAAGUUAAGCUUGGUUCGCAUUUAAAUGUUUUACGUGUUAAUCACCUCAGUCUGCCCAUGGAAUCUGUUUGUCCUCAUCUUCAGGACAGUCCCGGGGAUGCUGGUGACCACGCUGACACUUUGCACUUCAGGUGGCUUUGCUGUUAUUCAGUUCCUGGUAGCACUCAGCCCAGAGCUGCACCCACCCCCUUGCAGGCCGGGAGGCACAGUGGGUAUCUCAGCUGUGUGUGCAGGUGGCUUCUCACCCUGUGCUCUGGCAGUCACCGAAGGCCUGUAUGCAGAGCUGCUGACAGGACAUUUCUGAGUCCAGGUUCAGAUGAGCAUCUUCACAAACAUAGGCAUACACACAGGGCUUUGAGGGCCUGGUCCACGCCCAGCAGGCUGCGUACCCUGGAUGCAGGGUCAGCCUAGUCCCUCGUUCAGUGUCCCCAGAAGGUUGGUGUGGGGCACAAGAGUCUGCUCAUCUCUCCUGGAGAUUCUCUGAACUUCCCAACCCCAUGGGGGGACAGACCACUGUCUUAAGUGAUCUCAGACCCACCAUUUGCCUGUGACCCAGCCCCUGUUCUCUGGUUUUCAUGAUCCUCUGUUGGAACCCCUGCAACCCUGUCCCACCCAAGUGCUUACUUGAAAACAAAACCCUCUCAUAUCCCUGGCAGCCUCAGACAGCAGCAGAAGCCAAGGGUGGACGCUGGUCUGGCCCACAGAUGGUGGGUUCUCCUGCCUGGUGACCCUGGGUGACUUGAAGGAUUGGGAAGGCACAGAUCAUCCCAGUGUCCCUUCCAUGUUCUCUAAGCUGGGCUCCUUCUUGAAGGGUCGUUCCGUACUGCACAGCCAUAUCCCAAAGGGUGUCCUGCUCAGGUGACACUGGUGGGACAGGCACACAAGCAGGCUCUCCUCUGUCGAUUCCUGCUGUCGAUGCCCAGUUCAGGGCACGUUAGCCAUUGCUUCUUUCCUGGCAAGCAGACUACACCUCAAAUCAGCAUUACCUCAACAUCAGGAUAUCACCACUCCUUUCUUUUCAGUCAUGAAGAGAAACCACUACCUUUGAGUGUCAGGUGCACCUUUGUCUGGUAAUACGAUGCUCAAGUCAAACCCAGACAAAGACACCCAGGAGGGCCACAGGAGAGGCCACGGGGUGACCAGGCUUUAGGAGCACUGCUGGCUGGUGGGACACAGCUGGUCCAGUACAGAGAACCCACCUGUGCCUGCCUCAACUGCUGGCCAGGAAACUUAGAACCAAUUCUUCCAACCAAGCCUACAUGAAAAUCAACUUAUAGGGCUGGGAAUUUAGCUCAGUGGUUUCACCAAGGACCCAAGUUCGAUCCCCGGUACCAAAAAAAAAAAAUCAACUUAUAAAUGGACCACCACUCCAGGGUGCUGCUCCUGUGCUGUGGCUUCCUGAUAAAUGAUUGCUAGAGAACUAUUGUUUAUUGCUGAGGGAGCAAAAUUACACUUGGCUCUUUCCUGUCACAUACAUGGCUUCUGGAGGGUGUUGCUUCAAAUUUUAUUCCACCUCUACAUCUGUCACUUUAAAAUUAAAAAUGAAGCUGCUAUGAGAGACAAGUGGCUUUGCUUUUUCUUCUCUGGAGCACUCAAGUGUAGUGUUAAGAUGCACUGGUAAAAGGAAUGGCAUUUCCUUGUACAUGAGGGUAGGAGGAAGAGGUCUCUCCAAGGGCUGGAGAGUGGGGAAGAGCAGCCAGGGCAGCGUGGUUCCAGGAGGCAGAGCGCGCCCAAGGCUGGAGAGCAAGCAGAGGACUUGUUCUGAGGGUGGGGGAUGGAGGGAAAACAUGAAUGUCAGCCACUCUGCAAGCACAGGAAGGAGC
ensembl:lncRNA